AUUGAACGCUGGCGGCAGGCCUAACACAUGCAAGUCGAGCGGAGCGGCGGACGGGUGCGUAAGGCCUAGGAAUCUGCCUGGUAGUGGGGGAUAACGUCCGGUAACGGGCGCUAAUACCGAAUACUAUCAGGCGAGCCUAGGUCGGAUUAGGUAGUUGGUGGGGUAAAGGCCUACCAAGGCGACGAUCCGUAACUGGUCUGAGAGGGUGAUCAGUCACACGGGAACUGAGACACGGUCCAGACGCCUACGGAAGGCAGCAGUGGGGAAGAUUGGACAAUGGGCGAAAGCCUGAUACAGCCAUGCCGCGUGUGUGAAGAAGGUCUUCGGAUUGUAAAGCACUUUAAGUUGGGAGGCGUUACCAACAGAAGAAGCACCGGCUAACUUCGUGCCAGCAGCCGCGGUAAUAC
rnacentral:rRNA from 1 species